CGGGGGGAGCAAGCGUUGUUCGGAUUUACUGGGCGUAAAGGGCGCGUAGGCGGCGCAACAAGUCACUUGUGAAAUCUCCGGGCUUAACCCGGAGCGGCCAAGUGAUACUGUCGUGCUAGAGUGCGGAAGGGGCUACUGGAAUUCUCGGUGUAGCGGUGAAAUGCGUAGAUAUCGAGAGGAACACCUGCGGCGAAGGCGGGUAGCUGGGCCGACACUGACGCUGAGGCGCGAAAGCCAGGGGAGCGAACGGGAUUAGAUACCCCGGUAGUCCUGGCCUUAAACGAUGGAUGCUUGGUGUCCGGGGUUACAUAGUCCCCGGGUGCCGGCGCUAACGCAUUAAGCAUCCCGCCUGGGGAGUACGGUCGCAAGACUG
rnacentral:rRNA from 1 species